GUGAGAUUUGAUAUAGAUCAGAUAUGUGCUGCAAUAUAAUUUACUUUCACUUACAGACAGUUGAGAUAUGCUGCAUAUCGCCAAUUUGCAUAUCUAAUAUGGAGAAGAAUGGGCAAGCACAAGAGACGCAUUCUGCCAAGUUGUGUCCUGUGUGCUAUCCGGAAGAAAUAUCCAUCUCAUAAUGGAGUGUACACGGGGUUCAAACAUUUUUCAAGCUGCGUCGAAGAAAGCGGCUGCUGAGAGGUGGCGGAAUCUUCGCAUUUGUGGUCCUUCUCGUCCGUAACACUGUGACAGCGUCCAGCAUAACCACUUCCAGUAGUCUCUUCACAUAGCCUGCAUUAGGAUUUCACAACACAAUGUAUGUGUGAAGAAAUAAAGUGCAAUAUCAUCAGUUUACCA